rnacentral:lncRNA from 1 species
AAGGAUAAGAUAGAUAAAAGAAGAAUAGAGGCAAAAAUGUAAGAAUAAUAAAUUAUUUUUUCUAAAAAUUAUAUAUAAUUAUAAUAAUAAUUAUAAUAUAUAUAAUUAUAAAUAUAACUAUAUAUAAUUUCUUAUUAAUAUGAUUAUUGCCUUUAUUUUUUUUUAAUCUUUCUUAUAAUUUAUUUUUAUAUUUUUAUUACAGUAAUAAUUUUUUAUUUUUUAGUUAUUUUUUUAUAUAAUUUUUGGCCUAGUCCGGUGAGGGGUGAAGAGGAAGUUUUUUUUUU